rnacentral:tRNA from 1 species
ACCUUGCUGGCUCAGUGGGUAGAGUGUGUGACUCUUGAUCUCAGGGUUGUGAGUUCGAGCCCCACAUUGGGUG